rnacentral:rRNA from 1 species
GAUCAUUAUCGUACAAUGGGGGUACGACGGCUGUCGCUGACGUCAAGUCGUGCACGCCCGAGUGCUCUCCCAUCCAUCUCACCCCUUUGUGCAUCACCGCGUGGGUUCCCCUUCCUCGGACGGGGUGCUCACGUUUUUAACAUCGAACACCCAUUUAAACGUAGUAUAGAAUGUUCUUUGCGCAAACAUGCGUGAUCAAUACAACUUUCAACAACGGAUCUCUUGGCUCUCGCAUCGAUGAAGAACGCAGCGAAAUGCGAUACGUAAUGUGAAUUGCAGAAUUCAGUGAAUCAUCGAAUCUUUGAACGCACCUUGCGCCCCUUGGCAUUCCGAGGGGCACACCCGUUUGAGUGUCGUGAACAUCCUCAACCUGCUUCGUUUUCUCCAAACAAAGUAGGCUUGGAAUUUGGAGGUUUUCUGCUGGCAUCCUACGAAGCCAGCUCCUCUCAAAUGUAUUAGUGGGAUCCGCUUUGCUAGAUCCUCGACGUUGAUAAGAUGCUUCUACGUCUUGGGUUUCGCUCAGGAAUGACCUGCUUCUAACAGUCCCAUCGGGGACAAYGUUCGAGAGCCGAUCACCCCGUGAACGGGGUGCGAAGCUUUUCGACCUUUCAUGCCUUGACCUCAAAUCGGGUGAGACUACCCGCUGAACUUAAGCAUAUCAUA